rnacentral:tRNA from 1 species
GGGCCUGUAGUCUAGUGGCUUGCUUUUAACAGUCCACAGAUGACAUCUCCUUUACACGGAGAAGGUCGCUGGUUCAAAUCCAGCCAGGCCCA